UGCCACAUGCCAAUCCCACAUCGGCCGCAUGUCAACUUAACCGGUCUUGGAAUGAGAUAUAAAUAGAGAGAGACGGUUCACUUUUAAACAUACUUACCUGGACGGGGUCGAUGGCCGAUCAAGAAGGGCUAUGGCCUAGGACAGUAACCUCCAUUGCACUUAGGAGGGGUACUGACCUAAGAUCUGCCCAAGUGGCAGAGUCUACGUCAUAAUUUGUGGUAGAGGGGGUUCGCGUUCGCGCGACCCCUGCCCCAAUUAAGUAUCUAAAUGUUUGUUAGCAUAGCAAUUCAUCCCAAUUCAGUGGUGGUGACCUGAUGACAGGGAAGCCGGCGACCGAAGCCCCGGCCCGGUGAAUGGCAGAGUAAACCUGGUAAAGCCUAGUUGGAUGUUGGAGUAGAAUAUGCUGAUUCUUCGAUUUGAAGUCUUCAAAAACUGUCUGAAGUAGUAGUAAACAAAAUGUUCACUUGACUGAUCAGAACCCUGCUAAUUAUUGCAGUUUGAUUUUAUUGGGUACUAAUAAGUAUAGGGCCAUUGAACAUUGCUCUCAAAGACCACUGAUAAAAGCAUGAAUUUAUGGAGUACUAUUACACUAACAGAUUUUCAAUUUGAUACUUGGUUC